AAAGAGCAGCCGACAGCGAUAAACGAUUCCGGGAAGAUCUUUUGUCGGACGAUCAUUGGCGGUUCAUUCGAAUUCGUGUUCCACGCUCGGAACGCGCACCGUCGAAAAAAAAUAAAUAAAUAACACGUUCCGAGACCUCAUUAUGCAACGGACAAUUAUGAAAAUUUAAUUGCGCCUCACCUUGAGCGCGCGUGCGGGGAUAUAAUGUUCGAAGGCUGUUCCAUUGUCGUCGGACCGCGAGCGUCACGAGCGGCCGCUUCGCGCCGGCAAAACAAACGUUUCAUAAUCCAACCAAGCGGAUUCCGUCGCGUGUAAACCAAUCGUUUGCGCAAGCUGUACGUACGCGCGGUGUGGUCUUCGAAGGAUAGAGCGUGGCACGGCUCGUUCGUUUCUCGAAGAAAGUUUUCUUGCUUGCGUGGUGAUUUCAACGGAGAGAUCCUCGAGCGUUCGCCGGCCGAUUGGUAAAACUCGACCGAGUCGACGCCUUGAAUUUCGAAAUUGGAUCAAAGCAAAUCAUGGUAGGGUUCGUUUUCACGUUACGUGAAAAUUCAGUGAAAUUAAUAAGGUUUUCAACCCUUUGUUGCCGAGAUGGAGGUCCGUGCUUUUUAUAGAUUCUAGGGUCCUUUCAAGAUCAAAGGCAAAUGACGAGUACCUGCACCCUUACCUUUACUCUUAACUAAGAAAGGCUCUCAUUGCAGCGAAGUGUACAAGUAAAUUCUUAGACCAUCGAGUUUUCGACGAUACUGCGAUUAUGCAAGUUAAUAAGUAUGCGAUGGAGUCUAACAAUUUAAUCUUCCUCUCUACUGUAAUAUUUAUCAAGAAAAUCCGCAAAGUUUCGAGGACUCCACCUUGCACUCCGCGUCCCAAAUAUGGCACCCCAACGCCAGAGGGCUAAAGAAGUUGCUAUAAAAGAAUGUGAAAAAAAAGCUCGAUGCCACAAUUUUCUACGCGCCAACGCUUCAAGGUGAAUUUAUAACGUGCUGUUCCUCUGACAUAAUUCUUCGUCAGUUCCGAGGCGUCUGUUCGUCGUCCUUGACAAAUAAGUACCCUCGCUCCGCGCGCGAGAGUGCGCAAUCAAAGAUGACGAUAUAUUCCUGACUCGCUGAUAUUUGCCAAAUUGGUAAAUAGCAGCGGCGUCUCUCUUUGUUGAAACACCUGAAAAAUCUUGCUCUGAUGUCUGCCGAACACGAUGCCGCGACCCCGAUGUCCUAUAGCUGGAUUACGACAAACCGUGUUCGCGAAACUCUUUUUUUUUUGUAGCCGUGCACACGUUGAGAAAUUACGGCACUCCUUGUUCUAGCUGUGCUAUCAAAAACAACUGAUCAGUGGACUGAAAUAAUUUGACGUAGAAUAAAUAAAAAUAGAAGAAAGAAGUAGAAUAACAAAAAUAGAAAGGAGUGAAAUAACAAAUAAAAUGGUUCAAUUGAAAAAUGUAACAAUGUGAUCUAAAUAAUUUUAGAAUAUUUCGUUAAUCCUAUUAUCCAUCACUCCAAAUAUCUAAUUCAAAUAUUUCCAAUUAUUUUCCACGGAAAUUCAAGUGUUACCCAAAUAUGGGUGACAGCAAUGAACGUGCUAAACGAUAUUAUCAAUAGUAACGGCUGAAUGCGCGAGAGCAAUGAAUCGUCAAGCCGACCUCAUUUAUUUGUGGAUAAGGGCAAUGUGUGUGCAGAGAGUGCACCAGAACGUGUCUCUCCCCUGGUGCAUCCCCACCAAUCUACCACCGGGUGAUUUGCCCCGCGGUAAUACGUCCCUGGGAAGCACGGUAUGCGCCAUCGAGUGUACGCUUAUUUUAACAAACCUAUUUCUGAUAUUGUGCCACCGCAACGGGGCCUGUAUCGAGAUUAGAAGGCUUUCAACGAAACCGACUUUGCCGGUGGAGUGGCGGAGGCGCAAUAACGCGAAAGAACCUAAAUCGCAGCCGCGCCUCGAAACAGAUCCGCUCGGUGCAUACGUUUACGAUGCAAGUGUACGUACUUACGUGCACGGAGAGCACAUUCGACAAGUACCCCCCUCUCGUUACACGUCCCCAUGGCGUUAGGUGAAAGCUCAACAUUCGUAGAAGUAGCGCUGGACAACCGACUUUAAUCGUGUACGCUAAGCAAUGCGUUAUACGUUUCUACAGAAAAUUAUUUCUUAAACUUAUCAUUGUUACUUGAAAGAAAUUAUUGCGAUGCUUGAUUGAAAAAUUAAGAGGGAAGGCUAGCGCUCUAUACGACAAAUAAAUGCUAGCAAUGGAGGCGCCACCAAGGCUGCACAGCAUCGAACCAACGGCUCAUAAAUGUCAAGGGAUCCUGGUGUAGUUUUUAGGUUCCCCGAAGUGACUGGUAUCGGUCUACUGCCUUUGUAGAUUAUACGUUUCAAUCCAAUAUACAGUAGGUUCCAAAAAUAUUCCAACCCAUGUAAUAAUUUUGUAUAAAAAUUGAUUUAAAGUAAAGAAACUUUAGGUGAAACAGUGUUA